UACGGAGGGUGCAAGCGUUUAUCCGGAUUCACUGGGUUUAAAGGGUGCGUAGGUGGGCAGGUAAGUCAGUGGUGAAAUCUCUGGGCUUAACUCAGAAACUGCCAUUGAUACUAUCUGUCUUGAAUACCGUGGAGGUCAGCGGAAUAUGUCAUGUAGCGGUGAAAUGCUUAGAUAUGACAUAGAACACCAAUUGCGAAGGCAGCUGGCUACACGAAUAUUGACACUGAUGCACGAAAGCGUGGGGAUCAACAGG
rnacentral:rRNA from 1 species